UGGCUCAGGACGAACGCUGGCGGCGUGCCUAACACAUGCAAGUCGAACGGAGUCAAGAAGCUUGCUUUUGACUUAGUGGCGGACGGGUGAGUAACGCGUGAGUAACCUGCCUCUGAGAGGGGAAUAACGUUCUGAAAAGAACGCUAAUACCGCAUAACGUAUCGAAGCCGCAUGACUUUGAUACCAAAGAUUUUAUCGCUCGGAGAUGGACUCGCGUCCGAUUAGUUAGUUGGUGAGGUAACGGCUCACCAAGACCCGCGAUCGGUAGCCGGACUGAGAGGUUGAUCGGCCACAUUGGGACUGAGACACGGCCCAGACUCCUACGGGAGGCAGCAGUGGGGGAUAUUGCGCAAUGGGGGCAACCCUGAACCGCAGCAACGCCGCGUGAAGGAUGAAGGUUUUCGGAUUGUAAACUUCUUUUAUCAGGGACGAAAUCUGACGGUACCUGAUGAAUAAGCUCCGGCUAACUACGUGCCAGCCGCGGC
rnacentral:rRNA from 1 species